UACGGAGGGUGCAAGCGUUGUCCGGAUUUAUUGGGUUUAAAGGGUGCGUAGGUGGUUUGAUAAGUCCGGGGUGAAAGCCCGUCGCUCAACGACGGAACUGCCCUGGAUACUGUCAGACUUGAGGGUAGACGAGGUUGGCGGAAUAGAAGGUGUAGCGGUGAAAUGCAUAGAUACCUUCUAGAACCCCAAUUGCGAAGGCAGCUGACUAGGCUGGUACUGACACUGAGGCACGAAAGCGUGGGGAGCGAACAGG
rnacentral:rRNA from 1 species